rnacentral:snRNA from 1 species
UGAUCACUUCUGCAAUCCAUACACUAAAGUUGGAAUGCCAGAAGAUUAGCAUUAGCCCUGUGCAAGGAUGAGCAAAUUUGUAAAAUAUUCCAUUUAAGA